rnacentral:rRNA from 1 species
CUAAGAAUCUUCCGCAAUGGGCGAAAGCCUGACGGAGCGAUGCCGCGUGAUCGAUGAAGGUCGAGAGAUUGUAAAGAUCUUUUCCACAUGAGGAAUAAGUCUGGGAGGGAAUGCCCGGAUGAUGACGUUAGUGUGGGAAUAAGCCCCGGCUAAUUACGUGCCAGCAGCCGCGGUAACACGUAAGGGGCGAGCGUUGUUCGGAAUUAUUGGGCGUAAAGGGCACGCAGGCGGUUAUACAAGUCCGAUGUUA